AUAUGUAGUAGAAAAAAAUCGAGUUUAGUUUUAAAGAAACCCACAUCCACAUCAUGCAGGUCUCUCAGGCAUUUAGGAUGAAUAUUGAAGAGCUGUGGUGCCCUGAAGCCCAAGCUGUUGCUGUAUCUGGUCCUAUAUUUUGAUGGUGAUGUUGGGGUCUUUGGCACCAUGUAGUGGGGCCCCGUUC